AAUGUUCCCAAUUAAUAACAUGUAGAUGGCGCUGGUAAAUAUAAGUGAGAAAAGCACUUCGUGUAGGAAUGAAACUCAUAAAAGAUAUAUAUUAAUGCAUCUUCCCCUUUGCUGUGACUUGUCGUGGAUAUGGAUGUUGUUGAACCUAUAUAAGGACAGA